GACGAACGCUGGCGGCGUGCUUAACACAUGCAAGUCGAACGAAGUGGCGAACGGGUGAGUAAUACGUGGGUAAGCGGCCCUCCUUUUUGGGAUAAGCCUUGGAAACGGGGUCUAAUACCGAAUAAAGGGGGAUGGGCUCGCGGCCUAUCAGCUUGUUGGUGGGGGUAUGGCAUACCAAGGAGGUGACGGGUAGCCGGCCUGAGAGGGUGACCGGCCACAUUGGGGCUGAGAUACGGCACAGACUCCUACGGUAGGAAGCAGUGGGGGAUAUUGCACAAUGGGCGAAAGCCUGAUGCAGCGACGCCGCGUGGGGUAUGAAGGCUUUCGGGUUGUAAACCUCUUUCGCUCUCGAACGGGUAGGUGGCGAAGAAGCGCCGGCUAACUACGUGCCAGCAGCCGCGGUAAUUC
rnacentral:rRNA from 1 species